rnacentral:misc_RNA from 1 species
GUGAAAAAAAAAAAAAAUUAGCAUCUAAGCUGUGAUGAAUAUGAAUCUUCAAAAUCAUAAAAGCUAAUAAACAUUAUAUGCACAUUUGAAAGUGGGGAUAGGCAGUGUUGUAGAGAAAUAGAGAGAAAAAGUACAAGUACAUGAAUUACUACAAGCUAAUCCACCUGGAACUAGAAAAAGUCAUAGAAAAUAUAUACACACUCAGACAAACUUUUAGCCAUCAAACAAUGUACAAUUCUGAAAAUGAAAAAUGUGGAUACGAAUAUGCUACACUCAUAUCAUGUCACCAACUCUCACAAAAUAAAAAAUGAAGAUGAUAACGAGCAUAGUCAGAAGUACCAAAAGGAAAAAGAAGAAAAACCUUCAUAACUUGAGGAGCUCUGUUAAGCCAUCCAUGAAAACCCUGAACUCUGUAAAUUCCUAGUCCAGUUUGAUACUAUUUAUUACUUAAGUUAGAGCAAUCAAUUACAAAAAAGUUCAGAAAUUUAUCAAAUAGAAUAAACAAUAAUGACAACAAAUUUAUAG